AUAAAUCCUUUGACGAGGAAUAGUAGCAAUAUUAUUAAAGUUACAGAGAGUUGAGAAUGGUGGGAUCUCAAUACUAUUGUGUGUUGUGAAUGGACCUAAGAGGAGUAAAUUGAAAUUCGCAGAGCGAAGAGUAGUGGUUAACGUAUUCCAUACGUUAUAAUGGAUAGGACAUGUUAGUGUCUGAAAAAGAGAUACUUUUUUAAAGUAUAAUUUAGGUGGUACCGCGGAUAUCUCCGUCCUAGUU
rnacentral:ncRNA from 1 species